AGUCGAGCGGUACACAAGGAGCUUGCUCCUGGGUGACGAGCGGGGACGGGUGAGUAAUGUCUGGGAAACUGCCUGAUGGAGGGGGAUAACUACUGUAAACGGUAGCUAAUACCGCAUAACGUCUCACGACCAAAGAGGGGGACCUUCGGGCCUCUUGCCAUCUGAUGUGCCCCGAUGGGAUUAGCUAGUAGGUGGGGUAAUGGGUCACCUAUGCGACAAUCCCUAGCUGGUCUGAGAGGAUGACCAGCCACACUGGAACUGAGACACGGUCCACACUCCUACGGGAGGCAGCAGUGGGGAAUAUUGCGCAAUGGGCGCAAGCCUGAUGCACCCAUGCCGCGUGUAUGAAAAAAGCCUUCUGGUUGUAAAGUACUUUCUGCGAGGAGGAAGGCAUUUAGGUUAAUAACCUUGGUGAUUGACGUUACUCUCAGAAAAAACACCGGCUAACUCCGUGCCAGCAGCCGCGGUAAUACGGAGGGUGCGAGCGUUAAUCGCAAUUACUGUGCGUAUAGCGCACGCACGCGGUCUGUCAAGUCGGAUGUGAGAUCCCCGGGCUCAACCUGUGAACUGUGUUCUAAACUGUGAGGCUAUAGUCUUGUAUAGGGGGGUAGAAUUCUACGUGUAUCGCUGAAAUGCGUAUAGAUCUGGAGGAAUACCGGUGGCGAAAGCGGCCCCCUGUACAAAGACUGACACUCACGUGCGAAAGCGUGUGGGAGCGAACAGGAUAAGAUACCCUGGUAGUCCCCGCCGUAAACGAUGUCUACUCGUAGGCUGUUGCUCUUGUGGAGUGUGUUCUCGGAGCUAACACGUUAAGUCUACCGCCUGUGGGAGUAC
rnacentral:rRNA from 1 species